GACGAACUCUGGCGGCGUGCUUAACACAUGCAAGUCGAACGGUAAGGCUCCAGCUUGCUGGGGUACACGAGUGGCGAACGGGUGAGUAACACGUGGGUGACCUGCCCUGCACUUCGGGAUAGGCCUGGGAAACUGGGUCUAAUACCGGAUAGGACCGCACCGUGAGGGUGUGGUGGAAAGUUUUUUCGGUGUGGGAUGGGCCCGCGGCCUAUCAGCUUGUUGGUGGGGUAAUGGCCUACCAAGGCGGCGACGGGUAGCCGGCCUGAGAGGGUGGACGGCCACAUUGGGACUGAGACACGGCCCAGACUCCUACGGGAGGCAGCAGUGGGGAAUAUUGCACAAUGGGCGGAAGCCUGAUGCAGCGACGCCGCGUGGGGGAUGACGGCCUUCGGGUUGUAAACUCCUUUCACCAUCGACGAAGGGUUUCUGACGGUAGAUGGAGAAGAAGCACCGGCUAACUACGUGCCAGCAGCCGCGGUAAUACGUAGGGUGCGAGCGUUGUCCGGAAUUACUGGGCGUAAAGAGCUCGUAGGUGGUUUGUCGCGUCGUCUGUGAAAUUCCGGGGCUUAACUCCGGGCGUGCAGGCGAUACGGGCAUAACUUGAGUACUGUAGGGGAGACUGGAAUUCCUGGUGUAGCGGUGAAAUGCGCAGAUAUCAGGAGGAACACCGGUGGCGAAGGCGGGUCUCUGGGCAGUAACUGACGCUGAGGAGCGAAAGCAUGGGGAGCGAACAGGAUUAGAUACCCUGGUAGUCCAUGCCGUAAACGGUGGGCGCUAGGUGUGGGUUUCCUUCCACGGGAUCCGUGCCGUAGCUAACGCAUUAAGCGCCCCGCCUGGGGAGUACGGCCGCAAGGCUAAAACUCAAAGGAAUUGACGGGGGCCCGCACAAGCGGCGGAGCAUGUGGAUUAAUUCGAUGCAACGCGAAGAACCUUACCUGGGCUUGACAUAUACAGGAUCGCGCCAGAGAUGGUGUUUCCCUUGUGGCUUGUAUACAGGUGGUGCAUGGUUGUCGUCAGCUCGUGUCGUGAGAUGUUGGGUUAAGUCCCGCAACGAGCGCAACCCUUGUCUUAUGUUGCCAGCACGUUGUGGUGGGGACUCGUAAGAAACUGCCGGGGUUAACUCGGAGGAAGGUGGGGAUGACGUCAAAUCAUCAUGCCCCUUAUGUCCAGGGCUUCACACAUGCUACAAUGGUCGGUACAGUGGGUUGCCAGUCCGUGAGGGCGAGCUAAUCCCGCAAAGCCGGUCUCAGUUCGGAUCGGGGUCUGCAACUCGACCCCGUGAAGUCGGAGUCGCUAGUAAUCGCAGAUCAGCAACGCUGCGGUGAAUACGUUCCCGGGCCU
rnacentral:rRNA from 1 species